rnacentral:rRNA from 1 species
GAUGAACGCUGGCGGCGUGCCUAAUACAUGCAAGUCGAGCGAAUGGAUUAAGAGCUUGCUCUUAUGAAGUUAGCGGCGGACGGGUGAGUAACACGUGAGUAACCUGCCCAUAAGACUGGGAUAACUCCGGGAAACCGGGGCUAAUACCGGAUAACAUUUUGAACCGCAUGGUUCGAAAUUGAAAGGCGGCUUCGGCUGUCACUUAUGGAGGGACCCGCGUCGCAUUAGCUAGUUGGUGAGGUAACGGCUCACCAAGGCAACGAUGGGUAGCCGACCUGAGAGGGGGAUCGGCCACACUGGGACUGAGACACGGCCCAGACUCCUACGGGAGGCAGCAGUAGGGAAUCUUCCGCAAUGGACGAAAGUCUGACGGAGCAACGCCGCGUGAGUGAUGAAGGCUUUCGGGUCGUAAAACUCUGUUGUUAGGGAAGAACAAGUGCUAGUUGAAUAAGCUGGCACCUUGACGGUACCUAACCAGAAAGCCACGGCUAACUACGUGCCAGCCGCCGCCGUAA